AGGGUUUGAUUAUGGCUCAGGAUGAACGCUAGCUACAGGCUUAACACAUGCAAGUCGAGGGGCAGCAUGAACUUAGCUUGCUAAGUUUGAUGGCGACCGGCGCACGGGUGAGUAACACGUAUCCAACCUUCCGUUUACUCAGGGAUAGCCUUUCGAAAGAAAGAUUAAUACCUGAUAGUAUGGUGAGAUUGCAUGAUAGCACCAUUAAAGAUUUAUUGGUAAACGAUGGGGAUGCGUUCCAUUAGGUAGUAGGCGGGGUAACGGCCCACCUAGCCGACGAUGGAUAGGGGUUCUGAGAGGAAGGUCCCCCACAUUGGAACUGAGACACGGUCCAA
rnacentral:rRNA from 1 species